rnacentral:misc_RNA from 1 species
GAUGAAGGACGUAGCGAAAUGCGAUAAGUAAUGCGAAUUGCAGAAUUUCCGUGAGUCAUCGAAUCUUUGAACGCACAUUGCGCCCACUGGUAUUCCGGUGGGCAUGCCUGUUCGAGCGUCAUUAUCCUCCCUCAAACCCCGGGUUUGGUGUUGGACCCAAGUUGUGUGAACAACUGGUCUCAAAGACAAUGACGGCGUCCGUGGGACCCUCGGUGCAACGAGCUUUUAGGAGCACGCAUCGAGUUGCAAGGACCUUCCGGGCCGGUCUCCUUUACCAUUUUACAAGGUUGACCUCGGAUCAGGUAGGAAUACCCGCUGAACUUAAGCAUAACAAUAAGCGGAGGA